UAUGGAGUAUCUGAGGGAAAGCUGCUUUUUAAAUAAAAAGCCUCAAAAAAAAAAAAAGAGAGAGAGAGAGAGCUUUGAAGCACAUGCCUGUGGAGUUUUAAAAGGAUCACCAGGAAAAGAAAAAUUGGAUUGGAUUGGAUAUUUUUUUUUUUACUGACAAGUUUUAGAUUAUGUUCCUGAUUCUUUGGUGCCCUCAUGUCAACUAAAGUAAGAGAGGAGGACAUGGAAUAUGAUAAGUCUGAAAGCCUUUGGGUCAAACACAGAGGAAAGAAGAAAUAUAUCACACUUCAAUAGGAAGUCAAGUAAUUCACAGAAAGUUCAAUGAGGACAGAAUUUAAGAGGCAUUCAAGGAGGGUGAAAAGGGACCUUGGACUGGAAGCCAUGACCAGGCUUUUGAGGAGAUCAAGAGAACAAGAAAGCCAAUCUUUUGAUAUAGGAGGUUCACAGGACUCCAAAAAAAAAAUCCUGCCAUUGUAUUAUUCUUCAGCAAUUGAG